rnacentral:rRNA from 1 species
UUGCAGCUUAUCAAAAAGCGGAGGAAAAGAAACCAACAGGGAUUGCCCUAGUAACGGCGAGUGAACAGGCAAGAGCUCAGAUUUGAAAGGCACUUUUGUGCCGUUGUAUUCUGAAGUUAGGGUCCUGAGAAACGAUGCUUAAGUCUUCUGGAAAGGAGCGCCAUGGAGGGUGAUAGCCCCGUCUAGCAUUGACCUCAUAUAGGAUCUUAACAUGGAGUCGAGUUGUUUGGGAAUGCAGCUCAAAUGGGUGGUAUGCUCCAUCUAAAGCUAAAUAUCUGCGAGAGACCGAUAGUAAACAAGUACUGUGAGGGAAAGAUGAAAAGAACUUUGAAAAGAGAGUGAAAAAGUACGUGAAAUUGUUGAAAUGGAAGGGUAGGCCGCUAACCAUGUAGAGCCGUGUUUGGGGGGAAGAUAAAUGCUGUAGAAUGUAGCUCCUCGGAGUAUUAUAGAUGCAGUUCAUAUUCCCACCCGAGCGCGAGGAUCUCAUGUUACAAUUAUAUUGCCCCUU